ACGUGUGUUCGAAGACGCGCUCGUGCUACCUGGUGGGGUGCCCACCUGUUUUCCUGUCCCGGAAGAAUGGGUUGUUUGCAAGAAUUGUGAAGUUUUUGUGGGAUUUGGUGUUUUCGUUGAAGAGAUAAACGACAGAAGAUGGAUGGACAGUGCUCAGAUUGUAGAGGGCUUUCGAGCUACUGCUCUGCUGCUGAACAGCAUGCAGUCCUUUCGGGAGCAAAGUAGUUAUCACGGAAACCAGCAGAGCUACCCGCAGGAAGUGCACGCUUCAUCCCGACUGGAAGAGUUCAGCCCCCGCCAGCAGGCCCAGAUGUUCCAGAGCUUUGGAGGAGGUGCUGGCAGUGGACGUCGUGGAGCAACAGGAGCCUCUACAGCAAUGCCUGGUGAGAGCUCUGGCCAUCAGAGCUACCAAGGUUUCAGAAAAGAAGCAGGAGAGUUUUACUAUAUGGCUGCCAACAAAGAUCCAGUGGUGUCAGGAGGGCAGCAGCCGCCUCAGCGCAGGCCUUCUGGACCAGUACAGAGCUAUGGGCCCCCUCAAGGGAGUAGCUUUGGGAGUCAGUAUGGGAGUGAGGGACAUGUGGGCCAGUUCCAAACACAGCACUCGACCCUUGGGGGUGUAUCUCACUAUCAACAGGAUUAUACUGGUCCUUUUUCUCCAGGGAGUGCCCAGUAUCAGCAGCAGGCUUCUAGCCAGCAGCAGCAGGUGCAGCAGCUGAGACAGCAGAUCUAUCAAUCUCAUCAGCCUUUACCCCAGGCUUCCAGCCAGUCUGCUUCUAGCACCUCGCACUUGCAGCCAAUGCAGCGUCCAUCCACCCUGCCUUCCUCUGCUUCAGGCUACCAGUUACGAGUGGGUCAGUUCAGCCAACACUAUCAGCCACCUUCGUCAUCCUCCUCCUCCUCUUUCCCUUCCCCACAGCGUUUUGGCCAGUCGGGACAGAAUUAUGACGGAAGCUACAAUGUGAAUUCUGGGUCGCAGUACGAAGGCCAUGCUGUGGGUUCCAAUGCACAGGCCUAUGGCACCCAGUCAAACUACAGCUUUCAAACUCAACCAAUGAAAAGCUUUGAGCAAUCUAAGCUGCCCCAAAGUGGGCAGCAGGGGCAGCAGCAGCAGCACCCACCUCAGCAUGUAAUGCAGUAUUCAAAUGCUGCCACCAAACUCUCUCUUCAAAGUCAAGUGGGACAGUACAGCCAGACUGAAGUUCCUGUAAGGUCACCGAUGCAGUUCCACCAAAACUUCAGUCCAAUCUCUAAUCCGUCUCCUGCUGCAUCUGUGGUUCAGUCUCCAAGCUGCAGCUCUACCCCUUCUCCACUCAUGCCAGGUGGAGAAAAUCUCCAGUGUGGGCAAGGCAACAUGUCCAUGGGUUCUCGAAACCGAAUCCUGCAGAUGAUGCCUCAGCUUAGUCCUACGCCAUCUAUGAUGCCAAGCCCCAAUGCUCAUGCAGGUGGAUUCAAGGGGUUUGGACUGGAAGGACUGCAGGAAAAAAGGCUCACAGAUCCAGGACUGAGCAGCCUGAGUGCUCUAAGUUCUCAAGUUGCCAAUCUGCCCAACACAGUCCAGCACAUGUUGCUCUCAGAUGCCUUGGCACCUCAGAAAAAAAGUUCCAAAAGAUCAUCCUCUUCCAAGAAGGCUGACAGCUGCACCAACUCAGAAGGCUCCUCCCAGGCAGAGGAGCAACUCAAGUCUCCCAUGGCAGAGUCCCUGGAUGGUGGCUGUUCCAGUAGUUCAGAGGAUCAUGGGGAAAGGGUGAGACAGCUGAGUGGCCAGAGCACCAGCUCAGACACCACUUACAAAGGGGGUAAUUUAGAGAGACCCAACUCCUCACCAGCACAAGGCUCUCAGAAUGAGCCAUCAAAACUCAGCAGCAGUCCUGCAGCUAGGGAGGAUGUGGCCUCCCCUGAUGGGAAGGAAGCUGUGGUGGCUGUGGAAAAUGCCCCAAAAGUGAAUGAAAAGGCAGUUGGGGUGAUUGUCUCCCGGGAAGCCAUGGCAGGAAGAGUAGAAAAGUCAGGUGGACAAGAUAAACCUGCGCAAGAUGAUGCUUCCACAGCCCCUCAGGCACCAGCUAGCACCAGUGGAGCAAAGGAAGCUGGGCAUGCAGGGACACAGCAAGAAACUCAAGCAGGAGGUAAAGGGAGCAAAAGUGGCGAUAACACUAACCAUAAUGGGGAGGGGAACAGCCAGCCUGGUCAUGCAGUUGUUGGGCCAAAUUUUCCUUCAAGAACAGAAUCUUCCAAGUCUCCUGGUAGUUUAAGAUACAGCUACAAGGAUAAUAUAGCACCUGGUAUACAGAGAAGUAUUGGUGGCUUUCCACAGUAUCCAUCUGGUCAAGAAAAGGGGGAUUUUCCAGGGCAUAGUGAGCGCAAAGGCCGUAAUGAGAAGUUUCCUAGCCUCCUACAAGAGGUUUUACAGGGGUACCACCAUCAUCCGGACAGAAGGUAUUCUAGGAACGCGCAGGAGCAUUCUGGGAUGGCUGGGAGUUUGGAGGGAGCCAUGAGACCCAAUGUUUUAAUUAGUCAAACCAAUGAAUUGACCAAUAGAGGCCUCUUAAACAAAAGCAUGGGGUCCCUCCUAGAAGGCCCUCACUGGGGUCCCUGGGAUAGGAAGUCUAGCAGUGCAGCUCCAGACAUAAAGCAGAUAAAUUUAGCUGAUUACCCUAUUGGUAGAAAGUUCGAUGUGGAGUCUCAGUCUGCUGCCCAUGAGGCAGGAGCACUCUCAGAGAGGAGAUCAGUGAUCUGUGACAUAUCUCCAUUAAGGCAACUUGUAAGAGAUCCUGGCCCUCACCCCAUAGGGCACAUGGGUCCUGAGGCCAGAAGCGGAAGGAGUGAACGUCUUGCCCCUGGCUUGAGCCAGUCAGUAAUACUCCCUGGUGGUUUGGUAUCCAUGGAAACAAAGAUGAAAGCUCACAGUGGGCAAAUAAAGGAAGAAGAUUUUGAACAGUCAAAGAGCUCAGCUAGUCUCAACAAUAAAAAAACAGGAGACCAUUGUCAUCCUGCCGGCAUCAAGCAUGAAUCUUUUCGAGGCAAUGCCAGCCCUGGAGCUGCAGUCUCUGAUGCUGCUCCAGACUACAUGCCCCAGCAGGACAGCAGAUCAACACAGAUGAGACGAGGACCUGGCAGAACUGGAAGGGGUAAAUCACCCUCUCAAUAUCAGGAUCUUGCUGAUAAGCUGAAAAUGUCACCAGGUAGAAGCAGAGGCCCAGGGGCAGAUCUGCAUCACAUGAACCCACACAUGACACUAUCUGAAAGAGUUAGCAGGGGUUCCUUGCAUUCUGUCUACCCUCAGAAUUCGGAAGGCCCAUCUCUGGCUUCAGCAUAUCACACGAAUGCUAGGCCUCAUGCUUUUGGUGACCCCAGCCAGAGUCUGAACUCCCAGUAUCAUUACAAGAGACAGAUAUACCAGCAACAGCAAGAAGAAUACAAAGAUUGGGCAAGCAGCGCUGCUCAGGGUGUGAUUGCUGCAGCUCAGCACAGACAGGAAGGAGCAAGGAAGAGCCCAAGACAACAGCAGUUUCUGGAAAGAGUAAGGAGUCCCUUAAAAAAUGACAAGGAUGGAAUGAUGUACCUUCAAGGUAGCUCUUACCAUGAUACUGGAAGCCAGGAAGCUGGGCGCUGUGUCAUGGGGAGUGACGGUACUCAGAGCAAGUGCACCGAACUGAAACAUGGCAGCCAGAAGUUGCAGCAUCAUGAAUCUGGUUGGGACCUCUCUCGACAAACUUCUCCUGCCAAAAGCAGCGGCCCUCUUGGAGCAGCCAACCAAAAAAGAUUUUGCCCUCAAGAAAGCGAUGGGCAUCGACGAGAGGAAUCUACAGAUUUGCCUAAGCCUAGUAAUGCUAUGCUUAGGCUCCCUGGCCAGGAGGACCAGUCUCCGCAAAACCCAUUAAUUAUGAGGAGGAGGGUCCGUUCUUUCAUCUCUCCUAUCCCUACCAAAAGACAGCCACAUGAUAUGAAGAACAGUGGCAGUGAAGAUAAAGCGCGACUGAUGACUUCAGCAAAAGAAGGAGCCGAUAAAACAUACAACUCCUAUGCCCAUUCAUCUCAAAGCCAAGAUGCUGGCAAGUCAGUUGCAAAGGGAGAUUCCUUCAAGGACCUGCCAAGUCCUGAUAAUAGGAAUUGUCCUGCUGUUUCCCUCACAAGCCCGGCAAAGACCAAAAUAUUGCCCCCAAGAAAGGGGCGAGGAUUAAAACUGGAAGCUAUUGUUCAGAAAAUUACAUCUCCCAAUAUUAGGAGAAGUGUUUCUACCAACAGUGCUGAAACUGGUCCAGAUACUGUCACUCUUGAUGACAUCCUGUCCCUCAAGAGUGGACCUGAAGGAGGAAAUGUGGCUGGCCAUGGACCAGAGGCUGAGAAGAGAAAAGGAGAGAUAUCAGAUCAAGUGGGGCCAGCAAGCCAGGAUACAAGUGGUGAAAAAACUGUUCCAAGAUCUUCAGAAGAGUGGCAAAGCAGCGAGGAUGACAAAAACAAAAAAGAGGUCCCUGAAACUGCCAGUAUUGGCAAAGAGGGAGCAGCAUCCAGUGCAGCACCAGCACCUUCUCAGAAGUCAGGUGGUCAGGGAAGGUCUGAUGGAUCUGUAAGUGGAGCUGGAACUCUGACCUUUUCUGACUCAAAAACAAUUUCCCCUUCCAGUGUAUUCAUUUCUGAACCAAAUCCAAAGUCUGAGGAAAAAGAUGGAGAUGUGACAAACAUUUCACCCAAGCCAGAUGGUUUCCCUCCAAAGGGAUAUUUCCCCUCUGGAAAGAAAAAAGGGAGGCCAAUUGGGAGUGUGAACAAGCAGAAGAAGCAGCAGCAGCAACAGCAGCAGCUGCCUGUGCCCCCGCCUCCCCCACCAGCACCAUCACAGCCUGCAGAAGGGGUGGGUGCUGGCGAGCCAAAGCCCAAGAGGCAAAGGAGGGAGAGGCGAAAACCUGCAGCACAGCCACGGAAGCGGAAGCCUAGACGGGCUGCUCCAAUCGUGGAGCCUCAAGAACCAGAGAUCAAGCUUAAAUAUGCUACCCAGUCUGUAGAUAAAACUGACUCCAAGAAUAAGUCCUUUUUCCCUUAUAUUCACGUGGUAAACAAGUGUGAAUUAGGCGCUGUGUGCACAAUCAUAAACGCGGAGGAAGAGGAGCAGAACAAAUUGGUGAGGGGUCGGAAAGGACAGAGGUCUUCAACACCCCCUCCUAGCAAUGCGGAGAGCAAAGUGCUGCCCACCUCAACUUUCAUGCUGCAAGGCCCUGUGGUAACGGAGUCUUCUGUCUUGGGGCAUCUCGUUUGCUGCCUGUGUGGCAAAUGGGCCAGCUAUCGUAACAUGGGUGACCUCUUUGGUCCUUUCUACCCCCAGGAUUAUGCAGCUACCUUGCCCAAGAAUCCACCUCCAAAGAGGGCCACAGAAAUGCAGAGCAAGGUCAAGGUACGGCACAAAAGUGCUUCUAAUGGUUCCAAGACAGAUACUGAAGAGGAGGAGGAACAGCAACAACAGAAGGAACAAAGAAGCCUGGCUGCUCAUCCCCGCUUUAAGAGGCGGCACCGCUCUGAGGACUGUAGCGGAGCCUCUCGGUCACUUUCAAGGGGAGCUUCUUGUAAAAAAGCAACCACUGAUGGUGGCAGUGGUGGUGAAAAGACUCCUUUGGACUCAAAACCGUCUAUGCCCACUUCAGAAGGUGGCACUGAGCUGGAGUUACAAAUUCCUGAACUACCUCUUGACAGCAAUGAAUUUUGGGUCCAUGAGGGUUGUAUUCUCUGGGCCAAUGGGAUCUACCUGGUCUGUGGCAGGCUCUAUGGGCUGCAGGAAGCUGUGGAGAUUGCGAGAGAGAUGAAAUGUUCCCAUUGCCAGGAACCAGGAGCCACCUUAGGCUGCUACAACAAAGGCUGCUCCUUCCGAUACCAUUACCCAUGUGCCAUCGAUGCAGUUUUUUUCCUGCUGUGAAGAUAAAGUAACGAAAAUGGUGAGAAACGGCAUGCGAUAAACAGCGUACAGUAACACGUUGGGACAAGAUGGAGCUUGUAAUGAAUCUGUCUGAAAGAGCAGAAAAAGCCUGGUUUGGGGGAGUGCAGCUACAGUGACGGAAAUUUGGCUGCAGUGUGAGAACUGAUCGCUCUUUUCUUGCCAAAAAUAGAAACCCUUUGUUAAAAGGAUAUUGUUUACUAAACGAAGAGAAUUUCUCAGUGAGGUGCCCCAAGCACAAGGUUAGGCUGUUGAGAUAAAAAGCGGUGGACAUUCGUGACUGAAUGGAAUCUCUCCCACUGUGCAGCCAUGCCCCCUCUCGACGUGCCUGCCAAUGCCAGCACUUCCUUCAUAAAUUCUUACAUCACACUCAAGACUGAUGACAUCACAGAAUCUGACCAAGGAGUCUGAACCAGCUGUUUCCAUGGACACAAUCUCCAUAGUGACAGUGGGGAGGGGAGGGGGAAAAAGGAAACAGGUGGGGGGAAUUAAAGAGGGAGGGAUAAAUAUAUAUAUAUAUAAAGAUCUAUUUUUUAGUCUUGAAAGACUUUGUUUUAAAUGAAAGGUGCGCUAUAUCCCUUUUGAUGCUUUUGAUUAAGAUUUUAAAAACCCCAUAUAAAUUAAAAAAGAAACUUAUAGCUAAAGUAAAUAUUAAAUCCAAAAUUAAAGCAAGGCAUGUGGAGCCUAACAUUUUGUGGGAAAGAAUAGCAAAACUGGGAGUACUCCAAACAGGACUUGUCUCUGUUCCUCUUGCUUUCUUUCUCACAACAUCUGAUGAAAUUCAAUUUUGAAAGGCAAAUGAAAUACUGAUAAAUUGUUUGUAGGGUGUGGGAGGAAGGCUUGGAUGAUUGCAGGUAAUUUGGUGUCAGUAGUUGUGUCUGGGGGGGGUAGCGAGGUUUCCAUUUUUGAGAAACACUGUUAACAAUGUAAGCUUGAAUAACAUCUGCAGACUCUUGGGUCAUGAGACUCAUGAAGUAAGAGGUGGCUGCUGCUUGCUAGGUCCCGUACCCCUCGUUGGUGUGGGAACACCUGUACCACACAGGGGAAGGGAGCAACAACGUGACCCCCAGAUCAUUCCAAGAAGCUGCCUUCAGUUUGGAAGGCAGGUGAGAGGAAGACAUGGUUUACCUGCCAGAUUGGGGAAUGAAAGGAAGUCUGAAUGUUGGGGGAGUCAAUGUAUCCUCAAACUGAUUGGGGUAAAUCCACUUGGCCCUCUUUUAUUUUUAUAUUUUCGCUUUUCCUAAGGAAGGAAGAGGGAAUGUCAGUGUAACAGUCUACACUAUAUGGUUAUUCGGGGUUGGUUUUUUUUCAUUUUUUUCUUUUUCUUUUUUUUUUUUCUUUUUUUUUUUUUUUUUGUAAAUUAUGUAAUUUUAAAACAUUUGGGUUUUAGGAACAACAACAAAAAAUCAUGUUUUUUUUCUUGUUAAGGCCUUAAGAAAGGGGUUAGUGCAUCUUUCAGGGGUCACUCUGCCAUGGGAAUAAAAAUAGCUGUUUCACAAACAGUUUUAUAUAAAAAAAGCUUAAAAAAACCAAAAAAAACUAAUAAACUUCAUUUUAACCUUGUCUCCUUUUGUUUUGUGCGAACUUGAUUUGUUUAAAAGGACAGAGACAGUACUAUCUGCUGCUUUUUGGUUUCUUUGCCUUCAUCGGUUCUGCCUUCAGUGAUGACCUUCUGAACUGGCCCAGCAAGAGGAAGACCACAAAGGCUUUGAAAAACUAAAGCUUAGGAUCUGUUUGAUGUUCAGAGUUAACAAGCCAAUGACUGGAUGAAUUUUCUGUUCGUGUGAGUUGGUGGUAUUUCACCAGGUCACUGACUUCUUUCACUCACAGGAUGGUCGCAUAUCCCAGCGGUAUCAAACAGCGUGUUGUUUACUGGGAAGUCACUAGAGAUAGGGAUCUAACCAGCAUGACAUGGAUUAAAAAAUGGGGUUGAUAUUGUGGGGAGGGAAGAACUAUUUUAAAAGUUAUGUACUGGAUGCUUGCUCAGCUACUCACAUUUUGGAGUAUUCAGCACAUAAAAAUAAAAUCUAUGAUAGCUCAUAUUAAGAUAUCUAUUUUAACUCUAUUUUUAAAAGAUCGAUUUAAAGAUUUGGGAGAUAAUUUGGCAGUUAUUUAUUUCUAUAAGUUGCUACUCUCACUCAUAAAUAUUUGGAAAGAAAAGGCAGCCUUCUGCUUAGUCCUUUCCCAGUAGCAGCUACCGAAGUUAGUAUGUCCUUUACAUUAAGAAAUAGACCUGUUGUGAUAAAUGUCACUAAUGUGUCAUGAAUUGGUGCUGAAAAUAUUUAACUGCUGGUGUAGUCAGAAAAAAGUCAUUUUUAGCAUAGUUAAUGUGAUUGAGUAAAUGACUUCUUUUCAACUGAAUAAAAAUUGGUUUUUUUUUC